rnacentral:lncRNA from 1 species
UGGAUGAUGGUUGUUUCUGUUUCCUCCCAACACAUAUAUUGGGAUGAAAUUCCCCAUUGAGUUAUACCCUCAUAGGGACAAAUCUUGAUUCAGCGUGCCUCUCUAGUUUGUUCCUAGAUUGACUUCUUGCGUCUUUUCCUGCGCUUCCCCGUAGUUUUAGAUGAAUAGUUGCUCAGUAACCAGUAAUUAUUCAUCUUUUCCCCGGUGGAGUCUGUGGUUUUCUACCUUUAUACCG